CAGGUUGAUAUUCCUGUACCACCAUUAUUCGUUUUAAGCGAUGGGGGGACGCAGUAGGAUAGGCGAAGCGUGCUGUUGGAGUGCACGUCCAAGCAGUGAGAUUGAGUGUUAGGCAAAUCCGGCACUCUUAAGAUUGAGCUGUGAUGGGGAGAGGAACUUGUUCCUCGAGUCGUUGAUUUCACACUGCCGAGAAAAGCCUCUAGCUAGAAUAACGGUGCCCGUACCGCAAACCGACACAGGUAGUCAAGAUGAGAAUUCUAAGGUGAGCGAGCGAACUCUCGUUAAGGAACUCGGCAAAAUGACCCCGUAACUUCGGGAGAAGGGGUGCUCUUUGAGGUUCACGCUUCGAAGAGCCGCAGUGAAUAGGCCCAAGCGACUGUUUAUCAAAAACACAGGUCUCUGCUAAACCGUAAGGUGACGUAUAGGGGCUGACGCCUGCCCGGUGCUGGAAGGUUAAGAGGAGUGGUUAGCGCAAGCGAAGCUACGAAUCGAAGCCCCAGUAAACGGCGGCCGUAACUAUAACGGUCCUAAGGUAGCGAAAUUCCUUGUCGGGUAAGUUCCGACCCGCACGAAAGGCGUAACGAUUUGGGCACUGUCUCAACGAGAGACUCGGUGAAAUCAUAGUACCGGUGAAGAUGCCGGUUACCCGCGACAGGACGGAAAGACCCCGUGGAGCUUUACUGUAGCCUGAUAUUGAAAUUCGGUACAGUUUGUACAGGAUAGGUAGGAGCCUUAGAAGCGUGAGCGCUAGCUUACGUGGAGGCAUUGGUGGGAUACUACCCUAAUUGUAUUGGAUUUCUAACCCGCAGCACUUAUCGUGCUGGGAGACAGUGUCAGGCGGGCAGUUUGACUGGGGCGGUCGCCUCCUAAAGAGUAACGGAGGCGCUCAAAGGUUCCCUCAGAAUGGUUGGAAAUCAUUCAUAGAGUGUAAAGGCAUAAGGGAGCUUGACUGCGAGACCUACAAGUCGAGCAGGGUCGAAAGACGGACUUAGUGAUCCGGUGGUUCCGCAUGGAAGGGCCAUCGCUCAACGGAUAAAAGCUACCCCGGGGAUAACAGGCUUAUCUCCCCCAAGAGUUCACAUCGACGGGGAGGUUUGGCACCUCGAUGUCGGCUCAUCGCAUCCUGGGGCUGUAGUCGGUCCCAAGGGUUGGGCUGUUCGCCCAUUAAAGCGGUACGCGAGCUGGGUUCAGAACGUCGUGAGACAGUUCGGUCCCUAUCCGUCGUGGGCGUAGGAAAUUUGAGAGGAGCUGUCCUUAGUACGAGAGGACCGGGAUGGACAUACCUCUGGUGUACCAGUUGUCGUGCCAACGGCAUAGCUGGGUAGCUAUGUAUGGACGGGAUAAGUGCUGAAAGCAUCUAAGCAUGAAGCCCCCCUCGAGAUGAGAUUUCCCAACUUCGGUUAUAAGAUCCCUCAAAGAUGAUGAGGUGAAU
rnacentral:rRNA from 1 species